rnacentral:SRP_RNA from 1 species
UCGUGCUAGAUGGGGUGGUAGCGGUGCCCUGUUGCCCGCAAUCCGCUAUAGCGGGGUCGAAUUCCACGUCUGAGGAUUGUUUGUUUUGGUGCACGACCAAGGAGUAUGCGGCGUUGAUAGCCAGGUCCUGCGCAACGAGUCUUUGCUGAACCCCGUCAGGACCGGAAGGUAGCAGCGGCAGGCAACUCGACUCGUGUGCCGUAGGGUCACCUGGCAGGAGUUAGCGCUCGUUGGGAGUCCCAGAGCAUCAGUUCGAAGCGGGGUGCACGG